AGCGAACGCUGGCGGCAGGCUUAACACAUGCAAGUCGAGCGGGCGUAGCAAUACGUCAGCGGCAGACGGGUGAGUAACGCGUGGGAACAUACCUCUUGGUUCGGAACAACACAGGGAAACUUGUGCUAAUACCGGAUAAGCCCUUUACGGGGAAGGAUUUAUCGCCGAGAGAUUGGCCCGCGUCUGAUUAGCUAGUUGGUGAGGUAACGGCUCACCAAGGCGACGAUCAGUAGCGGUCUGAGAGGAUGAUCAGCCACCAUUGGG
rnacentral:rRNA from 1 species